rnacentral:lncRNA from 1 species
AUUGCAAAUUUGACAUCCGUAGCUCCAUUUCCCCCAACAAUCUCUCCUUCUCUCUCUGUCUUCAGAUAACCAGACAGAGCAAAUGGAGCUCAAUGUACCUUUUCCACAUUCUAGGUGUCUGACUGCUCAAAUGGUACUCGCACAAACAACUGGCCAUGUAAGGUAACCACAGCAGAUGUCUGAUGAGGAUCUAUCCUGGAUGGUAAGCUGACUACCUGGUACAGGAACAACUUUAUCUGUCACAUUAUUCCAUGUAUCAAGCACACAUAACAAAAGCAAAAUUUUCUUCUGUAGACAUGCUACUCCUAGCCCAGUGAAAUGUCCUAUCAGCAGAUAAACAUUGACACACUGGCUCACUCAUCAGUUCCCUGCUACCCGAACGCACAUUAGAGAGAGAAGGGUAAUUUGGCCUCACCAGAUUUUGCAGAAACACCCAACUAUACAUGCACUGUUAUCAAAUGAAUUCAACCUGUGCACUAUUUAUACAGCAAUAAUGAGGUUUAAUCGUACGAAUAAUUAUGAGAGACACAAAAAUAACCUUUUUGAAUGGAGUGACUCCCCAAGGAUUAUCCAGCUGUUCUGGCUGACCAGAUAUAACUAAGCGGCCUGCAGGAUCAGAUUGCACCCGCACCUGGUUUUAAUCAAGAAUAAGCCCAUCUAAUACAAAGCAAGCUCACAAAGGUAACUGAAGCACUAUGAAUUGCAAACCAUCAAACAGGUAGAUAGUUCAUAAUCAGCCUCAAAUUUUGAACCCCCUGAAGACCGAUAAUCAUCAGCUACAACUGCCUCAAUAAAAAUAUAAAACCACCGGAAUGGAUAGUUUUCCAGGCUACAGUACAAAAGCGAAAAAGGUUUUCAUAUGAGAGCAAAACUAAAAUGAUCAGAAGAUUGUUUGUUGGACUCUAUAUUCAUGCAUGCAUAUGUAGAUUCCUUUGACUUGGAAGGAAUGGAUUUUGGUGAAGCUAUCAGAUUUUUCUUAAGAGGAUUUCGGUUACCUGGUGAAGCACAGAAGAUUGACCGCAUCAUGGAAAAAUUUGCUGAACGCUAUUGUAAAUGCAGCCCCAAUUCAUUUACCAGUGCAGAUACAGCUUAUGUUCUUGCUUAUUCUGUCAUAAUGCUUAAUACUGAUGCCCACAAUACCACGGUAAAAGAUAAGGUGAGCUUGCUAAAUCAGCUAUUGUUCCACUUGUAAUGUGAUUAUGUAAAUACCUUUCUAUAGAAUAGGAAAAAGAAUAGCGAGUGAGCAUUGGUAUGGUAAAGGCAAAAACAUCUAAAACUGUCUUUUUCUUUUUUGCUUUUUAAUCUUUACCUUACUCUAUCCAAAACUGUACGCAAGCCUAAAUAUCCUGAUUUUAAGGAAUACAACGAUAUACAGAAAUUAGAAGAGAGCAAAAAGUUGAACGUUGCAACAAAGAAUGUAACCUCGGGUUUAAUUUUCUCCAUAACUCUUUUAAAGGUUUUAACUUGGAUUCUUUUCAAUUAAGUCUGAUAAAUCUACAGUAAAUAUUAAGUUGGCUGGUUGUGAUUGCUGCCUAAGGGUCAAUGUUUGAAAUUGCAGACGAGUUUUCUGGUUGUAAAAUGUAAAACGUUCAAAGAAAGAUAAUAGGAUAUUUGUUUGACCUUACAUAUUCUGAAUGUCAUCAGUCUGGUGGCAAACCUUGUACCUAUAGCUUGAAACUUGUAUCGCACCCAUCAAUGAUGAGUUCGAUUCUUUUGAUCUUAUUCUACUGUACAAAGACUUGCAGCUUACCCUACCCUUAUUUUAUCAAUUUUGUCCUUGGUAAGUCACAAAUUGACCAUAUCCAUUUGCUCCCAAAAAUAAAAUCCCAUACAGAUCUGGGAUACCUGACGAAGAAGUCAAGAAUAUCAUGACAAGGAUGAAAAUGGAGGGCUUGAGAAUUGCAUGUACUUUAGUCUUGAUAUGGAAAAUAUCCAGAAAAAGAAAAAGAGAUUAGGACUUCUUUAGAUAUUACCUUUGUGGAGCUUGUUGGUUUACUGGGCGGAUUGGACAGACCCGUCCUUUACUUUUCACUUGAAAAUUAAAAAAGAGAUUAGAAGUGAUUGUUGUAUGCUAUGGCUUCCAGUUUGUAAUUAACUCUAACCUAUGAAGAGUUAAAAAAGUGUUGAGUGCUUGACUUCAGAAACCUUAUUGGUUCACAAAAUAAGUCAGUGGUUUACUUGUUAUCUAUUCAACAAAUCCUACCCCCUUUUUCUUUACUUGUUCAUCAUUCUUCAAAAUUUGGACUGACAAUUCAUUCUUAAAACAUGCAUAUGCCCAACAUUGCAUGUUAAAAAUUUAUCUUUUGAAAUCUCUUUAACGUGUUAUUCCACUUAUCUAUUAGAAAAGUAAAGCAAUUGGAACUCCAACUUGUAGAUUGCAAACUUUAACCCUGAUUGCAUGCUACCAUUUUGUAUAACAUCUGAAGUGAAGUAAUUUAACAUGGAUUUUCUGACAUUCAAGGAGUGAACUUUCCAAGUCUCUCUCUCUCUCUCUCUCUCUUAACCGUGACAUAAAAUCGGUUUCUCUUUAGUACUAAUAACCAUUUUGCAUCUCAUUUGUUUGUGAAGAUGACAAAGGCUGAUUUCAUCCGGAAUAACCGAGGGAUCGAUGGUGGAAAGGAUUUACCGGAAGAAUAUUUGGGCAAGCUGUAUGAUCAAAUUGUAAAGAAUGAGAUCAAGAUGAAUGCAGAUUCUUCUGUGCCACAAAGCAAACAGGGGAAUGGCCUGAAUAGACUGCUAGGAUUAGAAAGCAUUCUAAAUCUAGUUUGGAAGCAGACUGAAGAAAAACCAAUGGGUGCAAAUGGAUAUCUUAUAAGGCACAUCCAAGAGCAGUUCAAGGCAAAAUCUGGAAAAUCAGAGUAAGAAAACAUUCUAUAUGCUUGCAUGUGCAUAUAUUUUUAAAAAUUCAUAUUGGAUGAUGCUGAUCAGUGGGAGAAGGGAGUAGAGGGAGGCAAAUGAGUUGUUUACGAUUGGGGUAUUUUAAGUUGGGAUAUCUUUUGAACUAUAGCUUAUAGUAGACUUUAUUAACUUUAUUUUUUUUUGUCAAAUAUUUCUGUUGUUCCUGAAAAUGUUUGGAAUUGGUUUAUUGGUUGACACUUGGAGAUUCUGUUUGCAUAAUUUUGCUACAGAUUUGUUUUCUAGGUGAUUAAAGUUCAGCAUUUUGAAAAUGUUUUUUUUUUCCCAAUUGCAGGUCCACAUAUUACGCUGUUUCAGAUCCAGCAAUAUUAAGGUUUAUGGUUGAAGUAUGUUGGGGUCCAAUGAUUGCUGCAUUCAGUGUAACUCUAGACCAGAGUGAUGACAAGGAAGCGACUUCUCAAUGCUUGCUGGGCUUCCGACAUGCUGUGCAUGUCACUGCUGUAAUGGGUAUGCAAACCCAAAGAGAUGCUUUUGUUACCACUGUGGCUAAGUUUACUUACCUUCACUGCGCCGCAGAUAUGAAGCAAAAGAAUGUUGAUGCUGUUAAGGUAAUUUUCCUUUGACUUCUGUCUGCGUUGCUAACUGGCCUAAUGCACUUUAAGGGCAGAUUUGUUUUCUCAAGUGUGGUUAAUAUCUUCUAUCCUAGCUACUCAGAAAUGAUCACCUGGGAGCGAUAUAUAUUCUUAACAUGAUCAUUCAUAGAGAGAGGCUUUUCCAUUCCUCCUUGUGAUUGACUUGCAAGAUAACUUAUCCACAAAUGUGAAUUUCGCAUAUUACUCUUGCAGGCAAUAGUAUCAAUUGCCAUUGAAGAUGGUAAUUAUCUUCAAGAAUCUUGGGAGCAUAUCUUAACAUGCCUAUCUCGUUUUGAGCACUUGCAGCUCUUGGGGGAAGGCGCACCUUCUGAUGCCUCAUUUUUAACUACAGCAAAUGCUGAAACUGAUGAAAAGGCAUUGAAGUCUGCAGGUUUUCCAUCUCUGAAGAAAAAAGGCAAUCUCCAGAACCCUGCUGUGGUAGCUGUUGUUCGUGGGGGUUCCUAUGACAGUACCAGUUUAGUAGCCAAUUCGCCAGGGUUGGUAACCUCGGAACAGAUCAAUAACUUCAUUGCCAACUUGAAUCUGCUUGAUCAGAUUGGGAAUUUUGAGUUAAACCAUAUUUUUGCUCAUAGCCAAAGGUUAAAUAGUGAGGCUAUAGUGGCAUUUGUGAGGGCACUUUGCAAAGUUUCCAUGUCAGAGUUGCAAUCUCCAACAGAUCCUCGUGUAUUCAGUCUUACUAAAAUUGUUGAAGUUGCGUAAGAACCUAUACUCUACAUUAUCCUUUAGUGCCAAAAUUUUCACAGGAGCAUCACAUGAUGCAAGAGCAAUGUAAAAGUCUUCCUUUUUUGAAUUAAAGAAUGAAUAAUUUGGGCAUCCCAUUUGUUUAUUUUGCAGGCACUAUAACAUGAAUCGGAUCAGACUAGUCUGGUCUCGCAUUUGGACUGUUCUGUCUGAUUUUUUUGUAUCAGUUGGUUUGUCUGAAAAUCUCUCUGUUGCAAUAUUCGUCAUGGACUCGUUGCGACAGCUUUCAAUGAAAUUUUUGGAGCGAGAGGAACUGGCAAAUUAUAAUUUCCAGAAUGAAUUUUUGAAACCAUUUGUGAUUGUCAUGCAGAGGAGCAGCUCUGCAGAAAUUAGGGAGUUGAUAGUUCGGUGUAUUUCACAGAUGGUACUCAGCCGUGUCAGUAAUGUCAAAUCUGGUUGGAAAAGCGUUUUUAUGGUAAGUUUGGCCAUCAAAUGAAUCAAAAUCUUAUUGUUAAUGCACAGAAGGCUGGAAAUUCAAGACAUGUAGCUCAUUGAAGUGAAUGUAUAUGAUUCUAAAGUUGAAAUCUCCUUAUGUCUAGGAAGCUCGCUUUCCUGAAAUUUGUGGAUAGGUAUAUACAUAAUAUUUUGGAUUGUUUAUCAAGAAAUAUUUUAACCAUGCAUCAGAUACAGUUAGCUGUCAACUGAGUAUCUGAUGUUUGACUGGAGGAUAAUUAGUUGUCUUAUUUGUUUUGCUGCAUAUUAUCCUAAAUUUAUCUUUCUCCUUUUUGCAUUGGCUUUUGAGCAAGCAUUCUUUUUGUUGAUAACUAGAACAGGUAUUGGAAUUGCAAUAAUCAGCAUCAAACCAGUCUUCUUUGAUUUCCUCUUUUUUUUUUUAGCACCUAGUCUUUGACCAUUGGGAGGGUAUCAUUUCUGGCUUUUAUGGGAAUUGAUAUUUUCAAUUUUUUGUUAGCUCAUUCCAGCAUUUUGAUGCUGAAGGACCUAUAAAGAUGUCUGUCUUGCUGAUGCCUUAGUUUCUUGGUGUUCUCCAAUGUGUUGUGGUCAUGUUCUUGUGUCCUAUACUGGAAGUUGUGGCAUCUUAACAUAUCAAUAUCGAACAAUACUUAGUUAAAAUGUGUACUUCUGAGCAUCUGCCUACUGCUAAAGUAUUUGUAAAGUUGCUCCUAUGACCCUCUGAAAUGUCCUCUCUCAUGUGAAUGCUUAUGUUUUUUGCAGGUUUUUACUACUGCUGCAGCUGAUGAAAGAAAAAAAUAUAGUCUUGCUGGCCUUUGAAACCAUGGAAAAGAUUGUUCGAGAAUAUUUUUUCGUACAUAACUGAGACUGAGACUCUGACUUUUACUGAUUGUGUUAAAUGCCUCAUCACCUUCACAAACAGUAGAUUUAACAGUGAUGUUAGCCUCAAUGCCAUUGCUUUUCUCCGAUUUUGUGCUGUCAAACUAGCAGAUGGAGGACUUGUUUGCAAUGAUGAAAGGACAGAAGAUGCUUCAUCCAUGGUAGUUAGAGAUGAUAAUGAUUCAGUUGGACGUAUAUUCACAGAUAAAGAUGAUCACGCAUUUUCUGGCUUCCUUUGCUAUCAGGUGUUUUUUUCCCCCUUCUUAGUUCCAAGAAUGAGUGUUUUUUAUUUGUGGUGUCCUCAGAUUAAGUCUACGAUUUACCUAUUCUUGUUAAUGAUAUCUUAAAAGAUAUACUUUUGUUGUGGUAUCCUGCCUCUUAAAAAUUCUAACUUUUUCCUGCGCUUAUUGAUGAAUUGUCAGGUUUAUCAGAACUGACUUCAGAUCCUAGAUCUGCUAUCAGGAAAAGUGCACUGGAAGUUCUCUUCAAUAUUCUGAAGACCAUGGGAGUCUCUUUUCACCAGUAUUUUGGCUAAGUCUUUUCACUUCUGUUAUAUUUCCAAUAUUUAGUUCCCAACAUGAUAAGCAAAAAACACGCUUGAAAGAUGACAAGUCUUCUCCUAGUUCUAAAUCCUUACUACUUGAUGGAAGCACAUGGGACACAGAAACUUCUGCAUUGGCAGCUGAAUAUCUGGUAGACCUUUUUGUCAGUUUCUUUGAUGUCGUCAGGUCAGAAUUGAAGAGUGUAGUAUCAAUACUGGCUGCAUUUAUUAUGAGUCCUGUCCAAGGGCCUGCAAGAACCGGUGUUGCUACAUUGAGACGGUUGGUCAGUGAAUUAAGAGCCAGACUUACAGAAGAAGAGUGGCGAGAUGUCCUUUUGGCUUUGAAAGAGGCUGCUUCUUCCAGUCUUCCUGGAUUUCUAAAAUUGCUUACCAUGGACAGCAUAAAGGUCCCUGAUCUGGCUGAAGACUAUGCUGACAUGGAAACAUCAUCUAGCCUUGGCUUGAUAAAUGAUGAGUCUGAAGAUGACAAUCUGCAAACCUCAACAUAUGUUGUUUCUAGGAUAAAGAGUCAUAUAACUGCACAGUUGCUCAUCAUACAGGUUCUCUCUCUUUCUCUCUCUGCAUGAGUGGUGCAGGUUCAUUCAUUAAUUCCUUUUCAUAAAACAUAAUUUUCCUAUACCAAGGUGAUUGAAUAUCCAAUGGGGAAAAAAAAACUGUAGCCAAAAGGAUCCUUCUCACUCCUUCCUAUAGUCAGAUUGCAUGUUUUGGAGAUGCCUAGACUAGUUUACUUUGGAAAUUAGAUUUCUUUCAUCUCUUUCACUGCCUUUUUUCUCCUUUCAUUAUUUAAUGCGUUUCUUCUUGUGUCUUGGCCAAAUCUGACUAUUUUUACUCGUCGUAUUAUUCUUUCAAGUUUACUUAGGGUCUGGAUUCCAGUUAUUUUGUUCUUUAUGUGAAUGUAAAGCAUGCAUUCUGAUUCUCUGUGCAUGUUUCUGGAGUUAGGUGAGGGUGUGUUUUUUUUUUCUUUUGCUCUUUCAUGAGAUGUCAAGCUGCAGCUGAAAAUGUUGUUGGCUGGGCAAUCCUUGACUCUUGCUACAGGAUGCCAGCCUAUUUUCUUUUUGCCCCUUGUGAUAAGUUUGAUCUUUGGCAGUUGGGAUUAUUCUCUUCCAUCUUUAGCUAGCUUUUGACAUAUCAGAUGAAGUUAACCAAUUGGUUAUUCAGGGACUUAUGCUUAGACAUUAUAAGUAACCACUUCUUUCUUCAUAAUAAUACUUGCGUGCUUGUUACAUUGAUGCAAUCCGAAGGUUCCCUUAUGUGUUCCUUUUGACCCUCCUUCCUCAGGUGGCAAGUGAUCUCUAUAAGUUGCAUUCACAACCUUUAUCUGCUGAUUCCAUGAUCAUUCUCGUUGAAGUAUUUUCUUCCGUUGCAACUCAUGCCCAUCAACUGAACUCCAACAAAGUCCUGCAGCUUAAGCUGCAGAGAGUGUGUUGUAUCCUUGAGGUCUCAGAUCCACCCAUGGUUCACUUUGAGAAUGAGUCCUACCAGAAUUACCUAAAUUUUUUGUCUGAUUUGCUUGCCUGUAAUCCAUCUUUGUAUGGAGAAAAAAACAUGAAACAGCAACUUCUGGCUGUAUGUGAGAAAAUUCUACAGAUAUAUUUGGAGUGUGCUGGAGAAUCUGUUCAGAGUAAAGCAGCAAAUGCGCCAGUGCAUCAGUGGAAUCUUCCAUUGGGUUCAGCCAAGAAAGAAGAGUUGGCAGCCAGGACUCCGCUAGUUUUGUCUGUGUUUCGAAUUUUAAGUGGUUUGGAACGGGAUUGUUUUAGGAAGUACAUCCCUCGGUUGUUCCCGAUAUUGGUAAAUUUUGUCCGGAGUGAGCAUAGUUCAGGAGAAGUCCAGAAGGUAUUGAGUAGCAUUUUUGAGUCAUGUAUCGGACCAUUAAUAAUAACAUGUUGAAAUUAGAAUACAGAGUACAGCAGACCUUGGACCUUGUGUAACUGGUCAAGUAUUACGGGCAAGUCUACUUGCUGAAAAUGGUCGUGGAUAAAAUUUUGCUAGUGUAUGAGGAGGGCUCAGGUUCAGGUUGAUACCUAUGUUUUCAGAACCGGACCGGAUAGCGACUCGGCGAGGUCAGGGGUCAGGGGUCAAUGGGUUCGACCGGGGUCGAUAGGGGUCGAACCGGAUGACGUCAUAAAUAAAAAUUAUUUAAAAAUUAAAAUAUAUAUAUAUAUAAUAUCUAAUAAUAUAUUGAUAUUAAUAAAGGCAUAUUCAUAUAUAUUUGAUGUUUCAAAUAUAUUUAACAAGAAAAUACAAAGAAAUUAGAACAAUCAAGUAGCAAUUUAUAUUAUUUAAUAAAUAUUAACAAGUUUAGAAUUAAAAUUAUGAAUUUAAUUGAAAAAUAACAUCAAAUUUUAGGACAAUAUUUAUAAAGUAUCAAAUAUUUGAGCUAUAUCAAUAAGUUUUAACAAUUUAGGGGGUCAAAACAUAAUAUUAAAAAGUUUGAAUUUUUUAAAAAAAAAUUACUGUUGAACCGGAAAAACCGGUUUUUUCCCGGUCAAACCCGGUUUUUGACCGGCUUUGACCGGAUUUUAAAUUUCCGGUUUUCUAAUGUGACUCGGACCGGCUACCUGGCCGGUUUCCGGUUCGACCGGUUCGACCGGCCGGUCCGGUCCGAGUCUGAAAACAGAGGUUGAUACUCUAUUGAUGAAUGAUUCGGAAAUGCAAAGACUAUUCUAGGGAAGUCAAAGAAAAAUGUUAUUUGCAUUCCAUAUUUUGUUAUUUGCACUUUUACCAUUUGUUAUAUUAUAUAAUAUAAUAAAUAAACAUUAUAUAACAAAAAUGAUAGUGAAAGUGUAAAUAACAAAAAAGUAUAGGGAAAUCAUACUGAUGGCAUUGGUAAUCUGAAAACGGUGGGUGUUAGAUGGGAGAUUAUUUGGAAUGAUUUUUUUUAAAAAUGAAGCAUUAAUUUGUGAUUUGAUAUACGUGAGAUAAAAAAAUAAUUGAAAAAUAUGUUUAUAAUAAUAUAAUUAAAUAAUUUUUUCCAAAUAACAAGUGCUUGGACGCUGUUUAAUGGAACUUAUAGCUCUAGUUGGUCAUGACCAAGAAAUCAUCGGCUUUGCUUGGUGGGCUGGAAAUAUGGGCUCCGUUUGGAUUAGCUGUUUUUGGGGUUGUUUUUCAAAACAGCACUGUAGCAUUUUGUUUUUGAAAUACAAGUCUGUUUGGAUUAGUUGUUUUUGGAGUUGUUUUUCAAAAACUAUAUGAAAAACUUUUACUGGAGAUUUUUUUGGAUUAUUUUUAGAGGUAUUUUUAAAACAUAUUUUUGGGUAUUUUUAUAAUUUAUAAUUUUUAUUUUUAUAUACAUUUAUGCAUUUAUAAUACAUUUAUAAAAGUUUAUAAAUAAAUAUAUUUAUAUAUUCGCUAAAAAAUAUAUAAAUGUAUUAUAAAUGUAUUAUAUUAUAUAUAAUACAUAAUAUAAAUAUAUUUAUAAAUAUAUAAGUGUAUAUUAUUAUAAAUGUAUAAAUUAUAAAUGAAUAUUAUAUAAAUGUAUAAAUUACAAUUUAUAAUUUAUAAUUUUUAUAUAAAUAUACAUUUAUAAAUAUUUAUAAAUAAAUAUAUUUUUGUAUUUAUAUAAAAAUAUAUAAAUGUAUUAUAAAUGCAUUAUAUUAUAUAUAAUACAUAAUAUAAAUAUAUUUAUAAACGUAUAAGUCUAUAUUAUUAUAAAUGUAUAAAUUACAAAUGAAUAUUAUAUGAAUGUAUAAAUUAUAAUUUUAUUAAUAUAUAUUAAUAUUAAGUAUAAAUGUAUUAAUAUAAUUAAUAUAAAUGUACAAAUGUAUUAAUAUUAUGUAUAAAUAUAAAAUUAAUAUUAUGUAUAUUAAUAUAAAUGUAUAAAUAUAUUAUAAAUGUAUUAUAUUAUAUAUAAUACAUAAUAUAAAUGUAUAUUAUAAAUAUACAUUAAUAUAUUAUUAUGUAUAAAUGUACAUUUAUAUAAAUGUAAUAUAUAUAAUAUAUAAUAUAUGUUAUAUUAUAUAUAAUUUAUAUAAUAUAUAAUAUUCAUAUAAAUAUAUAAAAAUAUUUAUAAUAUGUAUAAAUAAAUAUAUAAAUAGUUAAUAUAAAUAAUAUACAUUAAUAUUAAUUAUAAAUAUUAUAAUAUUAUAAAUAUGGUGUGUAUAUAAUAUUUCAAUUUGUAAUAUUUAUUGUAUAUUUCAUUAUAUAAAUAUUCAUAUAAUAUAUAAUAUAUAAAUAUAUAAUAUAUAAUUUUCAAUUUGUAUAAUAUACAUAAUAUUGUAUAUAUAUAAUAUAAUAUACAUAAUAUAAUAUAUUAUACAUAAUAUACAUUUUACAUUAUUACAUAUUAUGUAUAUUAUAUAUUAUACAUAACAUUAUUAUACACAAUAAUGUACAGAAUAAUAUUAUACAUUAAUAAUGUAUAUAUUAUAAUAUAAUGUACAUAAUAUAUUAUGUAUAAAUAUUUACACAUUUAUGUAUACAAUAUUACAUAUUAUGUAUAUUAUAUUAUAUUAUGUAUAAUAUUAAUUUAUAUAAUAUAUAAUAUAUAUAUAUAAUUUUCAAUUUGUAUAUUUCAAUUUAUAUUAAUAUAAUAUAAUAUAUAUAUAAUAUACAUAAUUGAAAUAUACAAAUUGAAAUAUACAUAUGUAGUUGUUUUUGAUAUAAUGUUUGGAUAUGGUGUUUUUGGAGUUGUUUUAGAAAUACACAUUUACUGUAGCAUUUGGAAUGUGAAAAACAAUUUUUCAAAAACAGUCCCAAAAACAAGGGAUCCAAACACACCCAUGGUAUUUGGAUUGUCAAUUAUUUCACCUUAUUUGCAAACACUGAUUUGUUUGCAUCAUCAACAUAUUUUUUAAUCAUCUUUUUAUCUCAUAUACAUCAUAUCAAAAAAGUGUCACGGUACCUUUUUCACAACCCUUAUUUCAAAUAAUUUACAAUCCAAACACUUAUCAGUUGUGUUGCUACAAGUUCUGCGACAAACAAAAUUCGGAUUUAAAACUGUUAGCCUUAUGCAUCUCUGGUUGCCUCUCAGUCAGCAUGUCUUAAGUCUGAACUUCUACUAAUACAUACCUCGUGGCCCCGUGACUAGAAUUUCUACUAAGAUUCUGGAUUUGUUCGACUAGCUCAACGGUCCAUAUCGCUACGUAAGAUUCUGUCGGCUUCUAGUUUCCUCUCUUUGUUAGUGAUAUCAAAGUUAAAUGAUAUCCAUCUGUAUUUGGUACACUAUUACGAGAAUCAUUCACAUUUUUUGUUUGUCUUCACCCUUUCUAAUUUUUUUUUUUUUGGUUUUUGUUUUGAGAGUUACACUCGCAUCUGCUUCUUUCUUGGAGGAACUCUUCAAAAUUGAAGUAUUCCUUAUCGUUUAAAUUUUUUUUUUUUUUCACUCAUAUCUGAUUCGCUUGUAUUGCCAACCCAAUUGUUUUUUUUUUUUUUUUUUGGUUCUUUCUUCACGAAAUCACACCCAUACAUUCAUGUCAUCACACCGGAUAAUAAUCGAUCAUGUUCGCAGUUGGUUUACUCUUCUUAAAUUGAUCGUUCAUGUAGUAGUUAAAUUUAUUUUUCUUGAAUUGAUCGAUCGUUCCUAUGUACAAUGUUAAAAACAAGGGUUAAUUACAAUUAAUCCCCUUAAGGUAUACCUCAAUUUUCACUGAAUCUCCUUACCUUUAAUUUGCUCACUUAACCCCCUUUAGGACAAAAUUACUCUUCCAUUAUUGACUUUUCAUUUACCUUGUUUCUUCUCUUUUAUUUCUUUUUCUCUUUCUUCUCUCUUUCAUCCUCCCAAUAGAAAACUCCAUCUCAACGGAAAUUUUUAUUUUGAGUUUGUAAUUGCAUUUCUGGGUGAAGGUUUAAAAAGUAUCAAAAACUAAUUUUUAUUUUUUCUAUGAUGCCAUGUAUUACAAAUUUCAAUUGAUGAUUAUUAAUCAGGUCACAAUUUCAUCUUAUGAUAUUUUCUUGAGAAUAAUAUGAGAAACUAGACAGGAAAGAGAAAAAACCAAAAUUAAAAGAAUUGAGAGGCUAAAAAAAUUGUAUUUUAGGAAAGUGAUUUGAUACUUUUUUAAUCACUUAAGGAGGAGAUAAAUCUCUAGAAUUCCUCUUUUUAAUUUCAAUCAUUAAGAUGAAAACUUUUGUGAAAAGAGGAAAAAUUAAAGAAAGAAGAAAGAGGCAAAGAAAAUAAAAGAGCACAAAAGGGGAAAGGAAAAAAAAUAAAAGAGAAAAAUAAGAGUUUAGAAUAAUAGAGGGACAAUUUUGUCCAAUGGGGGAUAAAGUGAGACAAAAAAUGAUUAGGGGCAAAAUGAAAAAUGAGGUAUACUUUGAGGGGGUUAAUUGUGAUAAACCCUAAAAACAAUUUCCUUGUUCCUAGUAUUCUGGGAAGAUGGACGGUAUUAUAUGCCCUUGGAACCCGUAAGUAUAGGAUCAAAAGGAGUUACUCGGUCUCUCCACCUCACCAUGCAUUCCGCUAUGUAUCCAAUCCUUCCCUUUUCUUUUCUUCUCUUUUCUUUUCUUUCUUAUUCGCAACGGACAACCAUUGAGCACGUGGAGGAAGCUGCCUCUCUGAGUGUUCAAUUGUUUCUUUGUACACAGGAGCUUGCUGCAGAAUGCCACCGUGAAUCUCUCUCUGUAUGCUCUUUCUGGUUGUUAUUCCUCGAACCCAGGAAACAAAAGAAAGAAUGUCGUCUUUCUUCUAUACACUCUAGAAAUGCUAGCUUCAGAAAUUGGAUGUUCUUGGCAGGGUUUUCCUGAAAAAAUUGUUUUUCUUCUUCUUUUUUUUUUUUUUUUUUAAACCAGCUUAAUUGAAAGAUCAAUCAAUCAAUAGCCAUGAUUCAUCUUCUAUAUUAAAGUUGAAUAACACACAUAAUUGAUUGAUGAAAAUGUACGUGCAUGGCAUAUAGUAGAUAAUUAUGUUGCCAGGUAAUCCGUCGUGAGAAAUUCAGAUCGACCUGUAUUGAUCCGUGGUGGAAAUAUGGCAACGUUGUCUAGCCAACCAUCUAAGAAGGCAAUUCGCAACAGCUCCGCGGAGGGGGUGGGGUUCUCUUCUUCUUCUGCCUCCUCUCAGGGCAAUCGCAAUUCAAGUGGACAAACUGUCAAAUUCGCCAGGCGAACUUCAAGUGGUCGUUAUGUGAGCCUUUCUAGGGAAGACCUGGAUAUGUCAGGAGAAUUCUCUGCUGAUUACAUGAACUACACAGUCCACAUUCCCCCUACACCUGACAACCAACCAAUGGACGCAUCAACGACACCGUCAGUGGCUGCAAAAGCGAGGAGCAAUACGUCUCCAAUUCAUCUUUACUGGGGGUUUCAACAGCGUCACGCGGGCCCACCUAAUGGAUAAGGUCAUAGAGUCAAAGUAAGCCAUCCUCAAAUGGCAGGAUCCAAAGGCUCGUCCUGCGCCAUGCCUGCUUGCGAUGGCAAGGUUAUGAAGGAUGAAGAGGAAAUGACAUAACUCCUUGCGAAUGCAGGUAUAUAAUCAAGAAGAAAAAAUGACAAAUGUCCAAAGUAGCAGCGUAUGCAUGGAUCAUUGCGUGCGGUACAUAAUUAAAAUUACACAUGUUUGUUGCUUUCAGGUUCAAGAUUUGUAGGGAUUGCUACAUGGACGCCCACAAAGAAAGAGGUUUAUGUCCAGGGUGCAAGGAGCCGUACAAAGUUGGGGAUUAUGAAGAUGAGGUACCAGAUUUUUCCGGUGGAGCUUUGUCGCUGCCUGCCCCGGAUGACCCCAAAGCAGAUCGCCGCAUGUCCAUGAUGAAGAGAAAUCAAACGGAGAGUUCGAUCACAAUAAGUGGCUUUUGAGACCCAGGGCACGUAUGGUUACGGAAAUGCGUAUUGGCCUCAAGAAGAUGGAUAUGGUGAUGACCAUGGCGAUGGAAUGCAAAGAGGUAUGUUGGAUCCGUCCGACAAACCUUGGAGGCCUCUGAGCCGGAGGUUGCCAAUUCCGCAAGGCAUUAUUAGCCCAUACAGGUUGGUUGGGUGUCAUUUGCAGCAUUGAGCUUACGUACAAUAAUUAACAUUACGGACUUUAUAUGAUAUGAUAUGAUGUUCCGAGUAUAUAUUCCUAUUAUUAUUAUUAUUAUUUUCGUAUUACGCAAUCAGUCAUAUUUAAGUUUCUAGUGUAACUUCAACCAUCAUAAUCUCAGAAUGUUUUCUUUAAAAAGUAAUAUUGCAUGGAGGCCAGACCGCUAACUGUGUAAACCACCGCACAGUUGGUACAAACAUAUAUUCUCUGAUUUGAUUCAAGUCAGUAAUGGAGAAAUUUUAAAAAGAUCAUCAUUAAUUUUGACCACCUGAUCAGGCUGCUGAUUGCGGUUCGGCUAGUGAUUUUGGCCUUUUUCCUAACCUGGAGGUUGAGACAUCCAAACGACGAGGCCAUCUGGUUGUGGGCGAUGUCCGUCACGUGCGAGGUCUGGUUUGCCUUCUCCUGGAUUUUGGAUCAACUUCCCAAGCUGUGUCCUGUCAACCGCUCUACAGACCUGGAGGUUUUACGCGAUAAAUUCGAUCUGCCGUCGCCCUCCAAUCCUACCGGUCGCUCUGACUUGCCCGGAGUGGACUUAUUUGUCUCCACGGCCGAUCCAGAGAAAGAGCCGCCCCUCGUCACCGCCAACACCAUAUUAUCUAUCCUGGCUGCUGAUUACCCUGUGGAGAAAGUUGCCUGUUAUGUUUCAGAUGAUGGCGGUGCUCUCCUCACAUUUGAGGCAAUGGCCGAGGCUGCCAGCUUUGCCGAUUUAUGGGUUCCAUUUUGUAAGAAACACGACAUUGAGCCUAGGAACCAGAAACCUAUUUCAGCUUGAAGGGUGACCCAACCAAGAACAAGAAGAGAUCCGAUUUUGUCAAGGACCGGAGAAGGGUUAAGAGGGAAUAUGAUGAAUUGAAGGUAAGGAUCAAUGGAUUGCCCGAUUCCAUAAGGAGAAGAUCCGAUGCCUUCAAUGCACAGAGAGGAAAUGAAGAUGCUAAAGCACUUGAGAGAGGGUGGGGCGGAUCCCCUAGAGCCUGUUAAGCUCCAAAAGGCCACUUGGAUGGCUGAUGGCACCCAUUGGCCUGGUACUUGGGCUGUUCCUAGUAGCGAUCAUGCUAAAGGUGAUCAUGCAGGAAUCCUGCAGGUAACUUCCUAUGUCAAAUUUCUCUAGUAUGUAACCGAUUAAUGUGCUAAAUCCCACUAAUCAAACAGUAUAUGGCCUUGCCCCAAGUAAUCAAACAGUAUGGCGGUUGCAGGUAAUGCUGAAGCCUCCCAGUAGUGAUCCGCUGAUGGGAGACUCUGAAGGCAAAAUCCUAGAUUUUUCAGACGUGGACAUCCGGUUACCCAUGUUUGUGUAUGUCUCCCGAGAGAAGCGACCGGGGUAUGAUCAUAACAAGAAAGCUGGAGCCAUGAAUGCUUUGGUUCGAGCAUCAGCCAUACUCUCUAAUGGACCAUUCAUUCUCAACCUAGAUUGCGACCACUAUUUCCAUAAUUGCAAGGCUAUUCGGGAGGGAUGUGCUUCAUGAUGGAUAGGGGAGGUGAAGACAUCUGCUAUAUACAAUUUCCUCAAAGAUUUGAAGGAAUUGAUCCAUCUGAUCGUUAUGCAAAUCACAACACAGUAUUUUUUGAUGGUAAUAUGCGUGCACUCGAUGGCCUACAGGUGGUUAUUCUCUCCUACAUCCGUUCUGUCAUAUCGUUUCAUUUAUGUUUUUUUUUUUUUUUUUUAAAUAUAAAUAAAACAUGCAGUGGUUAGCAUUUAUAGAGAAUCCCAAAGAUUUGUGUACUGCAAAUGAUGAUCCCUAUCCCAUUGUCACCAAUUACACAUGUCCCAUGCAUUUAGGGACCUGUUUAUGUGGGCACCGGUUGCAUGUUUAGGCGGUUCGCACUCUAUGGUUUUGAUCCCCCUCAACAAUUUAGCACGAUGAGGCAAAAGGGUAGUGAGACCCAAGCCCUGAAGGCCACUGACUUCGAUCCUGAUCUUGACGUCAAUUUGUUGCCCAAACGUUUUGGAAAUUCAACAAUGCUUGCUGAAUCUAUACCUGUUGCUGAAUUCCAAGGCCGCCCGAUUGCUGAUCAUCCUGCUGUCAAGUUCGGAAGACCACCUGGUGCUCUCAGAGUUCCCCGUGAACCACUUGAUGCUGCUACUGUGGCUGAAGCUGUAUCUGUAAUUUCCUGUUGGUAAGUUUUCUUCAAUAUAGAUCAAUACUGCUGAAUACAUGCGCGGCUAUCCUAAAUUGGUUUCUCAAGUUAGCAAAACUAAAACGAAUCAAUAUAGAUGGCAUCAAAUAUAAUAGUAGUGCUAGUGACAUUCAAUAUCCAAAUCUGAAGGAACGCAAAUGGCAACCAUAUUUCAGUGUGCUGUGUCCAAUUAGUAGACAUGCAUAGAACAAUAAAAAAAACAAUGCGAAAUUGAGAAUUCAAACAUGAUGAUAGGUUAUAUGAUAUCCUCUUGCGACACACUCCAGUUGUGUCUUACCCUCCUCUUAUUCGUUCUCUAGGUAUGAAGAUAAGACAGAGUGGGGUGAUCGGUUGGUUGGAUUUAUGGCUCAGUCACAGAGGAUGUGGUCACAGGCUACCGCAUGCACAACCGCGGUUGGCGCUCCGUGUACUGCAUCACCAAGCGUGAUGCGUUCCGCGGAUCGGCUCCAAUUAAUCUUACAGAUAGGCUCCAUCAGGUCCUCCGCUGGGCUACAGGCUCAGUGGAGAUUUUCUUUUCUAGGAACAAUGCCUUCCUGGCUUCCCGUCGCUUGAAGUUACUCCAGCGCCUAGCUUAUCUCAAUGUCGGCAUCUAUCCUUUCACCUCUCUGUUCCUUAUUGUCUACUGUUUCCUUCCUGCCCUCUCACUCCUUUCCGGCCACUUCAUCGUGAAAAACUUAAACGUGGUUUUCUUGGUCUAUUUGCUGAUUAUAACCAUAUGCCUGAUCUCAUUGGCAAUCUUGGAAGUAAAAUGGUCUGGAAUAGGAUUAGAGGAUUGGUGGAGAAACGAGCAGUUCUGGCUCAUCGGUGGAACCAGUGCCCACUUGGCUGCAGUGGUGCAAGGUCUCCUCAAAGUGAUUGCAGGGAUCGAGAUAUCUUUCACACUUACUUCCAAGUCUGCUGGAGAGGACAAUGAUGAUAUCUAUGCAGAUUUGUACUUGGUGAAAUGGACUUCUUUGAUGAUUCCACCUAUUGUGAUCGGGAUGGUGAACAUAAUAGCAAUGGUAGUGGCAUUUUCAAGGACAAUUUAUAGCGCAGAACCCCAGUGGAGCAAGUUCAUUGGCGGAGCCUUCUUCAGCUUUUGGGUUCUAGCUCACUUGUAUCCUUUUGCAAAAGGCUUGAUGGGAAGGAGAAGGAAGACACCCACAAUUGUGUUUGUGUGGUCGGGACUUAUUGCCAUCACGCUCUCACUACUAUGGAUUGCCAUUAAUCCACCUAAGGCUAGCACAAAUUCAGGGGGAGGAGGAGGAGGAGGAGGUUUUCAAUUUCCAUGAAAAGCACGUACUGGUACAUGCACCAAAAACCUUGUACCACUACAGGUCACCGCUACUUCUAAUUUGAUUUAUACAAAAGCUGCGAGAUUCUUGCGCUUGAAAUAUAACAUCGAUCGCCCCCAUUCCCAAAAUCCGGGAUUUAUUGGAUGGCAUCCGGGAAGUAAUUCAUACGACAGAUGUAAACCGUACCCCAACUGCUGCAAAAGUAAAGCCGUCAAGGGACGGCUCAGUAGGAUUAGAAAUUAUAUCGUGGAGUGAUUAAAGUCCAACGUCCUUUUCCUUCCCCGCUAACCACCCCACUUCUCAGUUCUCCUCCACCUCCAGCCCCAACAAACCCCUCUCUCUCUUUUUUUUUUUUCCUUUUUUCCGUAUUUCGAUCUUUUGAUAGAGAAUACUUACUAUAAAACUGACAAAUAUACAAUUUAGCAUCUUCGUUAGGUAACUGUACUCUGCUGUAAGCGUUGCCUGGCGCUCCCGGCAUGCUUUGUGCUGCAAGGAAGCAAGUCCUUGGCUAUAGUUGCAACUGAAAACUCGAAAUUAAUGGAGUACUUGCAAAAAUUGAGCAUAGCAAGUAUCAUAUCAUACCAUAUCAAGUACUUCUUUCCUCAGUAAUUGUAUCAGUCAUACUUCCCAUCGAACUAGUAGAAAUAUAUUUUGCAAACAAGGGGACCAUGCACUAGACCUUCAAACCAAGGGAGUUAAUUUAAAGAACAUAAAUUCAGAUAGAAAUACUCAAAUCUUCGAAGAAAAAUGAUAGCAAGCAUGUAUGUUUGGCAACGAAAAUGUACAGGUCCAACUAAAGGAAACACAUGAACCGGACAGCAAAGAGAAGGGUCGGAAAAGUGAAUCAUACUGAACCUACAGUAAGUAGAUAGCAUCUACACAAACGAUAAUUCAGCCGCAAAGCUUACGUUAAACAGCAGCAAGUGUUUUCUUUUUUCUUAAGACAAAAAAAAAAAAAAAAAAAAAAAAAAACUUUAAGCUUCAUUGUGAGCUUGCAGUACAAAGUCAAACUUUCAUUGCAAAUUUGACAUCCGUAGCUCCAUUUCCCCCAACAAUCUCUCCUUCUCUCUGUGUCUUCAGAUAACCAGACAGAGCAAAUGGAGCUCAAUGUACCUUUUCCAAAUUCUAGGUGUCUGACUGCUCAAAUGGUACUCGCACAAACAACUGGCCAUGUAAGGUAACCACAGCAGAUGUCUGAUGAGGAUCUAUCCUGGAUGGUAAGCUGACUACCUGGUAAAGGAACAACUUUAUCUGUCACAUUAUUCCAUGCAUCAAGCACACAUAACAAAAGCAAAAUUUUAUUCUGUAGACAUGCUGCUACUAGCCAGUGAAAUGUCCUAUCAGCAGAUAAACAUUGACACACUGGCUCACUCAUCAGUUCCCUGCUACCCGAACGCACAUUAGAGAGAGAAGGGUAAUUUGGUCUCACCAGAUUUUGCAGAAACACCCAACUAUACAUGCACUGUUAUCAAAUGAAUUCAACCCGUGC